GCAAUAAGUAUUGUGGUCUGUGAAAUCAAUGAAAAAAUGCUAGUUCUAUAAUAACAAGAAAUUAAUGGUCAAAUCAAAAAAUGUUCAUUGAUUGGUUCGAUGACAUCAGAAAGUGCAACAAACAUAUUGUACAAUUUAUACACAAAUCCUGUUGGGCAUUGAAGAUAUUAUUAGCAAUAGGUAUUAUUAAUUAUAGCAGUUUUUUUUAUCAAUACGAUUGUGGUUUUUUCGAUAAUUUAAUAUCAGCAGCUUAGAAUUUUUUUAUAUAAUUUAUUAUCUGCCAGCGUGUUUCAAAGUAUUGGGAAAGUCGUCCGACUGAUUGACCGCACAGUAGUGUUAUUUUGAUGUCGUGUUACAACAUAGUGAAACGGACCGCACGCGAUCGACUUACGCAUUGUUUCGGCGCAUCGGAACGUUUCGUUUUCGUGCACACCUACCUACCCCUUGUGUUUGUGUACCAUAAUAUCACACAAUGGGCGAGCGUUGAAACGGUUUCAAAACAUUGUUUUUUUUUAUUAUUAUAUUAUUUCGCUUGCCGGCACAUCGCAGCAGCGCUGUCUGCUCGUGCACGAACUCGUGGAAUUCCAUGGAUAAAAACCCAAAACCUUUCUGGUGUUUGCACUUGUCGGCCAUAUGUCAGUCCGUGGGCGUCGUGGAGAUGACGCCUCUGAUAAUAACCAUGUCGGCGCAGUGGUUCCCGAAGAACGAGAGGAACACGACGGCUACCGGUCAGUGCUGGCGUGAAUGAUCGUCGCGCGUGCGCUUUCGGCAUAAUGUACCGCGCAUAUGUACCAUAAUAUUAUAAUCUAUACACUUUAAUAUUAUAUAUAUUAUACCGUAAUAUUGAUUCGGUCGCGCGAGUUUAAAAGUUUCUGUCUGGCAGACACGAUGGUUCGGUGGUCACGUACAUAAUCGUCCCCAAUGUGGUAUCGGUGGUGAAUAACGGACCGCUGAAACCGUUCAUCAUGCACAUGUUGCACGCAUGUCUGGUCCUGAACGUGAUCGUCACGCUUUUGGUGUACAUUUCUUCCCGGAGCGCAUAUACGCCGCUGAACACCAAACCUGUCGAUGUCGAACAGAGCGCCAAAAUGUUUCACUUGCUAAAAACGCUCGUCGCGUACGUGUGUUCCUCUCCUCCGCUCCUGACUCUUUAAUCGCGAAUCGUAAUUUUUCUUUAUUCCCCAUUUUCAAAGAAUCGCAACGUUUGGUGUCUUGUGUUUGCCUUCACGUUGACAGUUCCGUGGGCAGCGCUGAUACCGUCAACUUUUUCCAAACUCAACGUGCCACCCGUAAUUUAUUUGUCGUCGACGGCGAUUCGUAUUCAUUUUUUU
rnacentral:misc_RNA from 1 species